rnacentral:rRNA from 1 species
CGGGUAGCGGAACACGUACAGAACCUUCCUUUAAGCGGGGGAUAGCCCAUAGAAAUGUGGAUUAAUACCCCAUAAUAUUAUUGACUGGCAUCAGUUGAUAAUUAAAGAUUUAUCACUUAAAGAUGGCUGUGCGGCUGAUUAGGUAGUUGGUUGGGGUAACGGCCCACCAAGCCAUCGAUCAGUAACUGGUGUGAGAGCACGACCAGUCACACGGGCACUGAGACACGGGCCCG